rnacentral:rRNA from 1 species
UACGGAGGGGGCUAGCGUUGUUCGGAAUUACUGGGCGUAAAGCGCACGUAGGCGGCUUUGUAAGUUAGAGGUGAAAGCCCGGAGCUCAACUCCGGAACUGCCUUUAAGACUGCAUCGCUUGAACGUCGGAGAGGUAAGUGGAAUUCCGAGUGUAGAGGUGAAAUUCGUAGAUAUUCGGAAGAACACCAGUGGCGAAGGCGGCUUACUGGUCCGGUUCUGACGCUGAGGCGCGAAAGCGUGGGGAGCAAACAGG